GAGGGUAUAGCUCAGUGGUAGAGUGUGCGCUUACAUGAGCAAGGUCAUGGGUUCAAUCCCCAGUACCUCCA
rnacentral:tRNA from 1 species